AAGAAGGAGGAGGAAGUGCCUUCUGCACCUGAUCCAAGAACAUGUAGGGCAGAGAAAAGGCAGAAGCAGACUACUCGAGAGGAAAAAGCCUCGCUCUUCUUGAUGGGCUGCACCAGAAGCUGCCUAUUUAGCACAGCAGACAGAGGGAGGCCUUGCUGGGAGCAAUGUAGUUUGUUUCAUAGCUGUGUUUUUUCUGGAUGUGAUGAUUCCUGCCUCGCUUUGGAUUGACACCGUGCCUUGACUUGAAGCGUGCCUUGGAAAGUGGACUUUUCUUGACUUAGAAACAACAGAAGAACCCAAGAAAACUGAAUCAGAUUCUUCUAAAAGAGAAGCAGGAAAUUGACUCUGGCCUGCACUAAGUAUAGAAAUGGAGGAGGAAUAUGCUUCUCUGAAUUAUAGUAUCACCUGGUGGAAAAUUCACAACCCGUUAUUGACUACAUCAUGUAGAGUUCGGGAAAGAAGAAAUGAAGUCACUGCGCCUUUAAGUUGCAAGACAGUAAGAAAGAAGCUAUAAGUGGCAAGAAAAGGCAGCAUUAAGAUCUCCUGCAGGAACAUGCUGUUGCAAAGCAAUGGGAAGAGAUACCCUGGAGGAAACAUUUUCCAUGGCCUAAAUUGAGAAAAUUACAUAUGUUGUGGUUUUAAUUUUUUCCCAAGAUGUAAAUCCCUAAAGAAAUAAAGAAAUAAAUAGU